rnacentral:snRNA from 1 species
AUGCCUUAAACGUAUGAGUAAGGAAAAUAAUGAUACAAGGUGACACCCAAAUCCUCACUGCUAAUGUGAGACAAAUUUUUGAGCGGGUAAAUGUUGCCCGUAAGGUGACCUGCCUACUUUGUAGGAUGCCUGGGAGUCAUGCUCUGCCCA